rnacentral:lncRNA from 10 species
CCAGCUACUUGGGCUACUCGGGAGGCUGAGGCAGGAGAAUGGCGUGAACCUGGGAGGCAGAGCUUACCCUGAGCCGAGAUAAUGCCACUGCACUCCAGCCUGGGCGACAGACCAAGACUCAGUCUCAAAAAAAAAAAAAAAAAAAAAAGUCUAGUAGAUGUAUCUUGUACAUUUAACCUGACUGAUAUUUUUGCCCCAAUGCCUACCCUUGAUUUUCUGUUUCCACUCCCUCAAAGAAGAAAGGAUUAAGAGGCCUAGAGGACAGUCAACCAAGUGGUCAACUAUAACAUGCUUAUGAGAAGCCCAAAUAACUUUCAGAGCUAUUCAUCCUCGUCAUAUUUAUCUGAGAGAUAGUGAGGGUAGGACUGCUCUCAUUUUGUGAUAAUGGAAGUUUAGAUACAGGGCACCAAAACUGGUACCUAUCUGGGACAGGAAUUUGCACACCUAAUGCAAGAUCACUCUGUUCUGAGGCUAGUUUUCUUUAUUGAGUACUUUGUUUAUAGGAUAAGGAAAGGCAACACUUUAAGGAUGGGAGAAAAUCCAGCUCAAAGGCUGCAGUUCACUCCUUGGUUUAAUUUCAUCUGUGUUUAUUUGUCUGCAUAUUGCCUUUGAGACCAAUUUCCUUUCCACUGUAAAUUUCCCUUAGACCUGCACUGUCCAGUAAGGUGGCCUCAUGUAACUAAUUUCACUAAAAUGAAGUAUGUUUAAAAAUUCCAUUGCUAUAUUGCAUUAGCCAUAUUUUAAGUACUCAGUAGUCAUGUAGGUAAUGUAUGAUACACCAUAGAUACUGAACAUUUUCAUUAUCAUAGAAAGUUGGGCUGGGCGUGGUGGUUCAUGCCUAUAAUCCCAGAGCUUUGGCAGGCUGAGGCAGGAGGAUCUCUUGAAGCCAGGAGUUUGAGACUGGCCUGGGCAAUAUAGUGAGACUCUGUCACUAUAAAAAAAAAAAAAAUUAGCAUGGUGUGGUGACACACACCUGUAGUCUUUACUCAGAAAGGCCUAGGUGAGAGGAUCACUUGAGCCCAGGAAUUUGAGGCUGCAGUCUAUGAUCUGGCCACUGCACUCCAGUCUAGGUGACAGAGCCCGACCCUGUCUCUUAAAAAAAGAAAACAAAGAAAAAGAAAGUUGGAAAGCAGUAGACCCCAGUAAGAAUUUCAAAGGAUAAGAGUUAAGUUGUGAUGAAUGACAUUUUUUAAAGCGUAGCAGCAAAAAGUGUUAUUCCUGAAAGAAGAUAGUGCAAAGGAAGUGUUGUGACAAGAUGUUACAAAAUAGGUUUAAGAAAAAAAAAAAAGCCACGAAUCCUGUGCCCUAUGUUGGUGUUUUGUCUUGGUCUCUCCCUUUUCAGGUUUCUCACUUGCCCUCCCUCUGUCUUCCCACCCCAUUACUGUCCAUACUAGAAUUGAAGUACAAUUUAAAAUAAUCCCAUCAUUGGGCAUAUUAAAUAAAGUUUUGGGUUACCCCAUUAGUUUUUAAUUGAGCUAAUUUUCACUUUUUACUUCGACUUUUAAAAAUUAUCCAGUAAUAGCCAAAUUAAGCUGCUGUUAACUUCUUUUUAUGACCCUUUAUUCCCCGCUCCCAACCCCGUAUUGUCAGUGAUCCCUGGGGAAGGAAAUGCUCUCAGUUUUUGGAAUAGAGACGCUCUAAAGCGACUAACCUAGGGCUUUCCACAUGGUCUGCAGAACUUUGUGUUGGUUUAUGAGGACACAGUGUCUGUGCUUUUGUUACUGUUGUGAAUUUACAUAAAAUAUGUAUCCAGCAGGGAAAUGUCGUUCUUCACUUCAAAAAGUAGUUUUAUGCUCCCUCCUUUGUUUCCUCCUCCCCCACCAUGAAAAGCAUGUAGAAGAGGUAUGUUGCCUGCAAUUCUGAUAAAAAUGUAGGAACUCUAUCCAAGCGAGAGGCGACAGCGUGCUGGCAGUCCUCAGAGCCCUUGCUCGCUCUUGGCGCCUCCUCUGCCUGGGCUCCCACUUUAGUGGCACUUGAGGAACCCUUCAGCCCACU